rnacentral:rRNA from 1 species
GAUGAACGCUGGCGGCGUGCCUAAUACAUGCAAGUCGAGCGAACAGACGAGGAGCUUGCUCCUCUGACGUUAGCGGCGGACGGGUGAGUAACACGUGGAUAACCUACCUAUAAGACUGGGAUAACUUCGGGAAACCGGAGCUAAUACCGGAUAAUAUAUUGAACCGCAUGGUUCAAUAGUGAAAGACGGUUUUGCUGUCACUUAUAGAUGGAUCCGCGCCGCAUUAGCUAGUUGGUAAGGUAACGGCUUACCAAGGCAACGAUGCGUAGCCGACCGGAGAGGGUGAUCGGCCACACUGGAACUGAGACACGGUCCAGACUCCUACGGGAGGCAGCAGUAGGGAAUCUUCCGCAAUGGGCGAAAGCCUGACGGAGCAACGCCGCGUGAGUGAUGAAGGUCUUCGGAUCGUAAAACUCUGUUAUUAGGGAAGAACAAAUGUGUAAGUAACUAUGCACGUCUUGACGGUACCUAAUCAGAAAGCCACGGCUAACUACGUG